AGAGUUUGAUCCUGGCUCAGGAUGAACGCUAGCGACAGGCUUAACACAUGCAAGUCGAGGGGCAGCACGAUGUAGCAAUACAUUGGUGGCGACCGGCGCACGGGUGAGUAACGCGUAUGCAACCUACCUAUCAGAGGGGAAUAACCCGGCGAAAGUCGGACUAAUACCGCAUAAAACAGGGGUUCCACAUGGAAAUAUUUGUUAAAGAAUUAUCGCUGAUAGAUGGGCAUGCGUUCCAUUAGAUAGUUGGUGAGGUAACGGCUCACCAAGUCCACGAUGGAUAGGGGUUCUGAGAGGAAGGUCCCCCACACUGGUACUGAGACACGGACCAGACUCCUACGGGAGGCAGCAGUGAGGAAUAUUGGUCAAUGGGCGAGAGCCUGAACCAGCCAAGUCGCGUGAAGGAUGAAGGAUCUAUGGUUUGUAAACUUCUUUUAUAUGGGAAUAAAGUGAGGAACGUGUUCCUUUUUGUAUGUACCAUAUGAAUAAGCAUCGGCUAACUCCGUGCCAGCAGCCGCGGUAAUACGGAGGAUGCGAGCGUUAUCCGGAUUUAUUGGGUUUAAAGGGUGCGUAGGUGGUUAAUUAAGUCAGCGGUGAAAGUUUGUGGCUCAACCAUAAAAUUGCCGUUGAAACUGGUUGACUUGAGUAUAUUUGAGGUAGGCGGAAUGCGUGGUGUAGCGGUGAAAUGCAUAGAUAUCACGCAGAACUCCGAUUGCGAAGGCAGCUUACUAAACUAUAACUGACACUGAAGCACGAAAGCGUGGGGAUCAAACAGGAUUAGAUACCCUGGUAGUCCACGCAGUAAACGAUGAUUACUAGCUGUUUGCGAUACACUGUAAGCGGCACAGCGAAAGCGUUAAGUAAUCCACCUGGGGAGUACGCCGGCAACGGUGAAACUCAAAGGAAUUGACGGGGGCCC
rnacentral:rRNA from 1 species